rnacentral:sRNA from 1 species
AAUUCUCGUGUUCUUUCAUCCCCAACCACGCGAUUAAAAUCUAGACAGUAGAUAUUUAAUGAUUUCAAUCGCGUCAUAUCAAUUAUUUGUGAAAUUAAAAUCUAAAUCAUAUUAAUUGUCUUCUAAAUGAUCAGAGUUGAUGGCUUGUGAAACUUCCGAAGUUAUCUACCAUCUCAUCCAAAGCUAUCUGCAUGCCAUCUGGCGGGAGCGGAGGCGAUGAUAGGGGAUAUUGAAUUGACAAGCAAGAGCAGUGGGUGGGCCUGCGAGUAGUACUCGUACUCGUAACUACGAAAUUAAAUAAAGGAACAAAAUAAAAUAGCCAUAAAAUAAAUAUAAGUGUAAAUUGAUGGAGUUGGAAGGCUGGUUCAUUGCAACUAUCUAGCAGACGCAGCACUCCCGUGAAAUAGAUAUGGUCAUGUGGCCUUCUAGCGAGCGAUCGGGAUGCCAGCAUAAAUGAAAUGUAAAUGCGAAAUAUAAAUAAAUCGGUGGAAAAUAAAGAUGGAAAAAAAAGAAUCCAUAGCGAGAGCUUCUUCGCCAGUUCUCCAAAAUUCUCGGAUCUAAGGUACGAGUCAUAGUCGGUCGCCAGAGAUUUGCAAGCAUGGCGUAAGAUAAUGAUAUUAUAAUCUAGGGUUAUUGAUUGGCGAUUGGCUCUCUAAGUGAGCGCGAGGCAUCCUUGAAUUCAACAAUCACCAGGU